rnacentral:rRNA from 1 species
GGAAUAUUGGACAAUGGGCGCAAGCCUGAUCCAGCCAUGCCGCGUGUGUGAAGAAGGCCUUAUGGUUGUAAAGCACUUUAAGCGAGGAGGAGGCUACUUUAGAUAAUACCUAGAGAUAGUGGACGUUACUCGCAGAAUAAGCACCGGCUAACUCUGUGCCAGCAGCCGCGGUAAUACAGAGGGUGCAAGCGUUAAUCGGAUUUACUGGGCGUAAAGCGCGCGUAGGCGGCUAAUUAAGUCAAAUGUGAAAUCCCCGAGCUUAACUUGGGAAUUGCAUUCGAUACUGGUUAGCUAGAGUGUGGGAGAGGAUGGUAGAAUUCCAGGUGUAGCGGUGAAAUGCGUAGAGAUCUGGAGGAAUACCGAUGGCGAAGGCAGCCAUCUGGCCUAACACUGACGCUGAGGUGCGAAAGCAUGGGGAGCAAACA